ACGGGAGGCAGCAGUGGGGAAUAUUGCACAAUGGGGGAAACCCUGAUGCAGCGACGCCGCGUGAGUGAAGAAGUAUUUCGGUAUGUAAAGCUCUAUCAGCAAGGAAGAAAAUGACGGUACUUGACUAAGAAGCCCCGGCUAACUACGUGCCAGCAGCCGCGGUAAUACGUAGGGGGCAAGCGUUAUCCGGAUUUACUGGGUGUAAGGGGAGCGUAGACGGCAUAGCAAGUCUGAAGUGAAAUGCAUGGGCUCAACCCAUGAACUGCUUUGGAAACUGUUAAGCUAGAGUGCAGGAGAGGUAAGUGGAAUUCCUAGUGUAGCGGUGAAAUGCGUAGAUAUUAGGAGGAACACCAGAGGCGAAGGCGGCUUACUGGACUGUAACUGACGUUGAGGCUCGAAAGCGUGGGGAGCAAACAGGAUUAGAUACCCUGGUA
rnacentral:rRNA from 1 species